rnacentral:tRNA from 1 species
GGCGAGGUGGCUUAGUGGUCUAGAGCACUUGACUCAUAAUCAAGAAAUCGCAGGUUCGAAUCCUGCCUUCGCUA